CCUACGGGUGGCUGCAGUGGGGAAUAUUGGGCAAUGGGCGGGAGCCUGAACCAGCCAAGUCGCGUGAGGGAAGACGGUCCUAUGGAUUGUAAACCUCUUUAGGCGGGGAGCAAUGCCGGGCACGCGUGCCCGGAGGGAGAGUACCCGCAGAAUAAGCAUCGGCUAACUCCGUGCCAGCAGCCGCGGUAAUACGGAGGAUGCGAGCGUUAUCCGGAUUUAUUGGGUUUAAAGGGUGCGUAGGCGGAUUUUUAAGUCAGCGGUAAAAUGUCCGGGCUCAACCCGGGCCGGCCGUUGAAACUGGGGAUCUUGAGUGGGCGAGAAGUAUGCGGAAUGCGUGGUGUAGCGGUGAAAUGCAUAGAUAUCGCGCAGAACCCCGAUUGCGAAGGCAGCGUGCCGUGCCGCCACUGACGCUGAGGCACGAAAGCGCGGGGAUCGAACAGGAUUAGAUACCCCAGUAGUC
rnacentral:rRNA from 1 species